AACUCUAAAUGCUGAUGUAUGGCAGCUCUGCAGAACUCUAGAUAUACAGACGUAUAAAAUGCCUGAGCAUCCAAGUGUUCCCUGUG